CAGCUCCGCGCGGCCGCUCCCCCGCCCCGCCUCCAUGGCGUCGCUCCCACUCCCCAUUCCCGCCAUCACGAGUCCCCACGCUUCCAAACCGCACGACGCGCCGGUGCCGGCGCCGAGGCCCGCCGCCUCCUCCGUCCACGCGGUGCUCGCCUCCCUCUCGCAGCACGCCCACGCCCACGACGACGCCCUCCACGACGCGUUCGCGCUGGUCGCCCGCGCCGAGGGCCAGCCCUCCCCGGCCGCUGCCGUCUCGGUGGGGCCGGAGGUGUACGCGUCGCUGCUCCAGUGCUGCGUUGCGGCGGGGUCCCUCCGCGCGGGCCGCCAGGUGCACGCGGCGCUCGUCAAGCGCGGGCCCUACUACAGCCGGAACGCGUACGUCGGCACCAAGCUCGCGGUCUUCUACGCACGCUGCGGCGCGCUCGCCGACGCCGAGCGCGCGUUCGAGGCGCUCCCGGAAAGGGACAGGAACGCCUUCGCGUGGGCGGCCGUCAUCGGGCUCUGGAGCCGCGCGGGGCUUCACGCCAGGGCGCUCGACGGGUUCGCGGCCAUGCUCGGGGCGGGCGUCCCCGCGGACAACUUUGUCGUGCCCACCGUGCUCAAGGCGUGCGCGGGGCUCGGUCUGUUCCGCGCCGGGAGGGCGGUGCACGGGUACGCGUGGAAGGCCGGGAUCGCGGAAUGCGUGUACGUGAUGAGCAGCCUCGUGGACUUCUACGGGAAGUGCGGGCAGGUGGAGGACGCGAGAGGGGUGUUCGACGCAAUGCCGGAGAGGACCGUGGUGAGCUGGAACUCGAUGCUCAUGGCGUACAUACACAAUAGCAGGAUUGACGAGGCCGUGGAGCUGUUCUACGAGAUGAGGGUCGAGGGCGUGCUGCCGACGAGGGUCAGUGUCGUGAGCUUGCUGUCCGCGUCGGCGGAACUUGAGGCUGUUGAUGAGGGCAGGCAGGGCCAUGCUGUGGCCGUAUCGAGUGGGUUAGAGAUUGAUGUGAUUCUGGGUAGCUCAAUGAUCAACUUCUACUGUAAAGUUGGGUUGGUGGAGGCUGCAGAGGCAGUGUUUGAACAGAUGGAAGAGAGAGAUAUUGUCACUUGGAAUUUGAUGAUUGCUGGGUAUUUUCAGGAUGGGCAGGUUGACAAGGCUUUUGACGCUUGUCGAAGAAUGCUGGAGACUAACCUCAAGUUUGAUUGCGUGACAUUGGCGUCCAUUAUCAUGGCUUGUGUAAAGUCUUGCAGUAUGAUGGUCGGUACAGCUGCUCAUGGUUAUGCAGUCAGAAAUGACCUUGAUUCAGAUAGGGCAGUUGCUUGUGGCUUGAUAGACUUGUACGCGAGUACUGGGAGGAUUGAACAUGCACGUCGAGUGUUCAAUGCCAUGAGUCAGAGAGACCUUGUCUUGUGGAAAGUGAUGAUUUCCACUUAUGCAGAUCGUGGCAUGAGCUCUGAGGCUCUGAAGCUUUUAGAUCAUAUGCAGCUCGAAGGCAUGUCCCCAACUGCAGCAUGUUGGGAUUCAGUAAUUUCAGCUUUUUUACGAAAUGGCCAGUUCGAAGACGCUCUAGAAGUAUUCAAACAGAUGCUUCUGACUAGAACACGCCCCAAUCUGCGCACCUGGAGCCUGUUAAUAAGCGGCUUAUCCAAAACUGGCAUGCAUCAGGAGGUAACAAAUCUAUACUGCAAGAUGCAGGAGGUAGAGUCAGCACCCAGUCCAACAGUCUAUUCAGCAGUGAUCCUUGCUGUUAAAACUGCAGUUUCUGUACAUUGUGGAAAGGCAAUUCACGCAUGCGUUGUCAAAAAGGGCCUGUUGUUGUCCAAAUCAGUGAUACAAUCACUUCUCAACAUGUAUAGCAGUUUCGACGACAGAGGCACGAUGGACAGUUUACUAAGGUUGCUUGCUGAAUGCAGUAAAUAACAGAAAAUAGUCUCAAUAAUAUGGAAUAUACAGCUGUUAAAAUACAUUGUUAUAAUUUUUUUUUGAAAAGGCUACAUGGUUAUAUAGCACUGCACAUACUGAAAUCACUCAUUUUCGGUAUUGGUGUGGUUGCGAAGUAAAUAUCCACUGUUGCGCUUACACAUGCAGGUUUAUGUGCAGUAAAAUAACUAACAUGCUUAUGUUGACAUCUCUGAUAUGUAUGCCAGUAUGGGGCCUACAUCCGAAUUGUGAGGAAUUUUAUUGAGGUCAGAAGGUUCCAAUCAGAAAACGAGCACCUUGUAGAGCCCGGACCAACAAGAAAACAGUGCUGCUGUUUGUGUUGGCACAGAGCUCGAUCUGCAGCCUUGCAGGAUCUGAAAGAAGAAGCAUUCCAACUAUAAUAAAUAUUACUGUUGUAUAAAAAAAUCCCUCGAUGGCUCGGCCGGUGGGGGAAUGACUGGUUUGUUGACAUAUCUGAUUCUGACAUGGAAUGGAGUCUGAAUCUGAUUUGAGUGGC